rnacentral:rRNA from 1 species
GACGAACGCUGGCGGCGUGCUUAACACAUGCAACUCGAGCGGUAAGGCCCUUUCGGGGGUACACGAGCGGCGAACGGGUGAGUAACACGUGGGUGACCUGCCCUCAGCUCUGGGAUAAGCCUGGGAAACCGGGUCUAAUACUGGAUAUGACUCCAUGACGCAUGUUGUGGGGUGGAAAGCCUUGUGCGGCUGAGGAUGGGCCCGCGGCCUAUCAGCUUGUUGGGGGGUGAUGGCCUACCAAGGCGACGACGGGUAGCCGGCCUGAGAGGGCGACCGGCCACACUGGGACUGAGACACGGCCCAGACUCCUACGGGAGGCAGCAGUGGGGAAUCUUGCGCAAUGGGCGAAAGCCUGACGCAGCGACGCCGCGUGAGGGAUGACGGCCU